UUGUUUUUCGAUGAAACCCUAACCCUUCUUCUCUUUGUUCUCCUCCCUCGUUCUGCCCUGUGUCCAGUCGACUAUCCCUUCUCACCCAAAAUUUAAGUUAAAUAAUGGCAGCAACGAUGGAGGCGGUUUGAUCAGAAGUGGUUCAAUUGAGAGAAGUUGUUUAAUCGCCGGCUACGUGUGGUUCAAUCAAUGCUUCAACCCAUUUUCAAACCCAGUUAUUUUAAUAUAUGCUAUCUACUCUGAUGUUUGUUAACAAUCCUAAGGGCCGGAAAUGAACUCUGUAAAGGCGUUUCAAGGCAAUUUCUAUUGUUCCGGUUGCAAGUAUGAAUUGAAGAUGCUGCUUUGGGUUGCAAGUAUGAAGAUAUAUGUAUUUGUGUAUGAAUAUUGAAGACGUUGUUCAGGAAGUUAGUGUAUAUCACUUUCAUCUUUAAUGAUAUAUAUAUUUGUGUUACUUUGAAACUUUUGUAACGUUGUAUUGCUUUGAAACCUUUGUAAUUUACAUUGGGUUAUUUUAUAUUGGUUUAAAUUAAUUUUGU
rnacentral:lncRNA from 1 species